rnacentral:tRNA from 1 species
GUCGCCGUAGCUCAGUGGUCAGAGCGCCCCGCUCAUAACGGGGAGGGCGGUGGUUCGAGACCACCCGGCGAUA